AUUGAACGCUGGCGGCAUGCCUUACACAUGCAAGUCGAACGGUAACAGGCCGCAAGGUGCUGACGAGUGGCGAACGGGUGAGUAAUACAUCGGAACGUGCCCGAGAGUGGGGGAUAACGGAGCGAAAGCUUUGCUAGUACCGCAUACGAUCUACGGAUGAAAGCAGGGGACCGCAAGGCCUUGCGCUCAUGGAGCGGCCGAUGGCAGAUUAGGUAGUUGGUGGGAUAAAAGCUUACCAAGCCGACGAUCUGUAGCUGGUCUGAGAGGACGACCAGCCACACUGGGACUGAGACACGGCCCAGACUCCUACGGGAGGCAGCAGUGGGGAAUUUUGGGACAAUGGGCGCAAGCCUGAUCCAGCAAUGCCGCGUGCAGGAAGAAGG
rnacentral:rRNA from 1 species